rnacentral:rRNA from 1 species
GAUGAACGCUGGCGGCGUGCCUAAUACAUGCAAGUCGAGCGGUAACACUUCGGGUGACGAGCGGCGGACGGCUGAGUAACACGUAGGAACGUACCCCAAACUGAGGGAUAAGCACCGGAAACGGUGUCUAAUACCGCAUGUGGUCUUCGGAUUAAAGCUUCGGCGGUUUGGGAACGGCCUGCGCAUGAUUAGCUUGUUGGUGAGGUAACGGCUCACCAAGGCGACGAUCCGUAGCUGGUCUGAGAGGAUGAUCAGCCACACUGGAACUGAGACACGGUCCAGACUCCUACGGGAGGCAGCAGUGGGGAAUAUUGGACAAUGGGCGAAAGCCUGAUCCAGCCAUGCCGCGUGUGUGAAGAAGGUCUUCGGAUUGUAAAGCACUUUAAGUUGGGAGGAAGGUCUGUAAGCUAAUAUCUUGCAGUCUUGACGUUACCAACAGAAUAAGCACCGGCUAACUCUGUGCCAGCCGCCGCAGUAA